CAACAGGCUCGCCCGAAAUGCAUUAGCGCCUCAGGACACAUUCGCUACUGCUCUACAAAAGGAAGAGCAGCGAAGCGUAUGGGGGGGAAAACCACCACCGGUUAUUCCAAACCUCGCCUGACUGUUUUUGCGCGCAUGGCAUGAUACGUCAUUUGCUGUGUUGCGUAGGUUGGUGCGUGGGACUGUGUGAGUGCCUCUAGAGCUUUGAGAAGUGUGUUUCGUGUGCUACGAACUGAAAAAGUACAUUCCUUUUUUUCAAUUCUGGUCUCAAAUCAGGUAGGAUCACCCGCUGAACUUAAGCAUAUCAAUAAGCGGAGGAGAAGAAACUAACAAGGAUUCCCCUAGUAACGGCGAGCGAAGCGGGAAGAGCUCAAAUUUGAAAGCUGGCACCUUCGGUGUCCGCGUAUGUAAUCU
rnacentral:rRNA from 1 species